rnacentral:rRNA from 1 species
GAUGAACGCUAGCGGCAGGCCUAAUACAUGCAAGCUGAACGGUAAGAUUUGUAGCAAUACGAGUCCUAGAGUAGCGUAAGGGUGCGUAACACGUAUGCAAUCUGCCCGCAACAGGAGGAUAGCUUAGCGAAAGUUGAGAUAAGACUCCAUAAGAUCACACGAGGGCAUCUGAGGGUGAUUAAACUACAAGGGGUUGCGGAUGAGCAUGCGACUGAUUAGUUAGUUGGCGGGUAACGCCCACCAAGACGAUGAUCAGUAGGGGAACUGAGAGGUUGGUCCCCCACACUGGCACUGAGAGUACGGGCCAGACUCCUACGGGAGGCAGCAGUAGGGAAGUAUUGGAC